UACGUAGGGUGCGAGCGUUGUCCGGAAUUAUUGGGCGUAAAGAGCUUGUAGGCGGUUUGUCGCGUCUGCCGUGAAAAUCCGGGGCUCAACCCCGGACUUGCGGUGGGUACGGGGCAGACUAGAGUGUGGUAGGGGAGACUGGAAUUCCUGGUGUAGCGGUGAAAUGCGCAGAUAUCAGGAGGAACACCGAUGGCGAAGGCAGGUCUCUGGGGCCACUACUGACGCUGAGAAGCGAAAAGCGUGGGGGAGC
rnacentral:rRNA from 1 species